UACGAAGGGGGCUAGCGUUGUUCGGAAUCACUGGGCGUAAAGGGCGCGCAGGCGGCCAUUCAAGUCAGAUGUGAAAGCCCCGGGCUCAACCUGGGAGGUGCAUUUGGGACUGGAUGGCUUGAGAUCGGGAGAGGAGAGUGGAAUUCCCAGUGUAGAGGUGAAAUUCGUAGAUAUCAGGAGGAACACCGGUGGCGAAGGCGGGUCUCUGGGCCGAUACUGACGCUGAGGAGCGAAAGCAUGGGUAGCGAACAGG
rnacentral:rRNA from 1 species